GGGAGAUGACAGGACCCCCCGCUUAAGUGCAUAUCUCACUCAGGUCCCCACAUCCAGGGAGCUUCUGAGCUGCCAGGGAAGACAUUUCUUCUUUUGAGAAGGAGCUCACAGUCUAAAUAAAUACUAGCAAACAAUACUUUUGUAUAUAGUAGGCAUAUUAUAAGUGGAGCUUUAUUGAAAUGAUAAAUAGGAAAUUAUAUAAUUACAUGUUUAAAAAUUUUUCUGGCUGGGCACGGUGGCUCACACCUGUAAUCCCAGCACUUUGGGAGGCUGAGGCAGGCGGAUCACCUGAGGUCAGGAGUUCGAGACCAGCCUGGCCAACAUGGUGAAACCCCGUCUCUACUAAAAAUACAAAAUUAGCUGGGCAUCCCAGUGGCGCAUGCAUGUAAUCCCAGCUACUUGGGAGGCUGAGGCAAGAGAAUCU
rnacentral:lncRNA from 1 species